GCCUAGCUAGCUCAGUUGGUAGAACAUGAGACUUUUAAUCUGAGGGUCAUGGGUUCGAGCCCCAUGUUGGGUG